CAGGAGGGAGGCUGUUGUCAAAGUCAAACCUGCAUCAGGACUCUGCACUUCACGGAAACACUUUGAGAGAAAGUUCCAUCUCAUCAGUGAGUGAAACACCAGAGCAGAGGGAGGAGGAAAUAAUCAGGAGAAAAACUCUUGUCAAAGUCAAACCUGCACCAGGACUCUGCACUUCACGGACCAAGAUGGACCCACCCGGAUCUGGACCUAAACCUGGUCCAGUUUCUGUGAAGAGCGAUAAG